UCAAUUGGAUGAUGAUCUAGGCUUAUAGAAUAUAGAAAUAUGGCAUUAUAAAGUGAAGUGUUUUUUAUUUUAAUGUACUGGAGUCAUUACAUGAAUAUAUCUUAUAAUGCAAGCAGGCUUUUAAUGUAUUAAUUAAAAAUGUAAGGGCUGCAAUGAGUGUGUAUUAUAAUGCAAGCAGUCAAAAUUCAAGAAGCUAGGUAUUUAAUAAUCCUCUGAAGUUUCGGCAUGCAUUUUGAUAAUUAGAUGCAGGUGUCAAUUUCUAAUUUUGUUUGCUGUUUUGACCUUUUUUGAAUUGAACCUCUAUGAGAACGUCAAAUUUGAUUGUCACAGAAGAUUUUGGAGUUCCAUUGGUUCUGCAGCACUUGCAAAUGGCUCAUCUGCAAGGUUGAAUUUUGAUACCUAUUAUAUAAAGAAAGUUAAUUUAAGUGGAGUAUUGAGGCCAAUAUGAAGCAAUGGAAUAUAACUCGAGACCCAUGCAGUGGAGCUGCCAGUGACUCCACCGCAUUCGACAAUGGCGAUUACAACCCCUUCAUCAAAUGUGACUGUUCUGUCAUUUAGCCUCUUACUGUCAAUGUUUUUACUUCAAUGCCACGCUGAAGAACCAUACUUUACCUUCAAUAUCAAACCCAUGCAAUGAUCAUGAUUUGCAUUUGCAGGAAAGUUUAUGCCUUGGAUGUUGUAGGUGUACUUCCAGAACUAUGAAAAUUGAGCUACCUAUUCAAUCUC